rnacentral:rRNA from 1 species
GAUGAACGCUGGCGGCGUGCUUAACACAUGCAAGUCGAACGGGAAACCUUUUAUUGAAGCUUCGGCAGAUUUAGCUGGUUUCUAGUGGCGGACGGGUGAGUAACGCGUGGGUAACCUGCCUUAUACAGGGGGAUAACAGUCAGAAAUGGCUGCUAAUACCGCAUAAGCGCACAGAGCUGCAUGGCUCAGUGUGAAAAACUCCGGUGGUAUAAGAUGGACCCGCGUUGGAUUAGCUGGUUGGUGGGGUAACGGCCCACCAAGGCGACGAUCCAUAGCCGGCCUGAGAGGGUGAACGGCCACAUUGGGACUGAGACACGGCCCAGACUCCUACGGGAGGCAGCAGUGGGGAAUAUUGCACAAUGGGGGAAACCCUGAUGCAGCGACGCCGCGUGAAGGAAGAAGUAUCUCGGUAUGUAAACUUCUAUCAGCAGGGAAGAUAAUGACGGUACCUGAAUAAGAAGCCCCGGCUAACUACGUG